GACAGAGGGUGCAAACGUUGUUCGGAAUUACUGGGCGUAAAGCGUGCGCAGACGGUUGCGUAAGUCAGAUGUGAAAGCCCCGGGCUCAACCUGGGAAUUGCAUUUGAGACUGCGUAGCUAGGGUGCGGAAGAGGGAAGCGGAAUUUCCGGUGUAGCGGUGAAAUGCGUAGAGAUGCGGAGGAACACCGAUGGCGAAGGCAGCCCCCUGGGCUGACACUGACGCUCAGGCACGAAAG
rnacentral:rRNA from 1 species